UCCCCUUUAGCUCAGUUGGUAGAGCAGUGGACUGUUAAUCCACCUGUCGCAAGUUCAAGUCUUGCAGGGGGAG
rnacentral:tRNA from 1 species